CUGUUAUGCUAAAUCUGGCCAAAGAUAAGUAUUGUCCACCAGAAAAAUGCCUCUGCCACUUGGAAUUUCUGUGCUAACUGCGGCCAGAGCGUUUAACAACUAAUCUACAGUGGCAUAGGAAAAUGGCAAAAAUCUCCUAAAGUGCAAUAGAUUUUUUCAAGUGUAUUGUGCCUUGUUCUAAAACUUUUAUUAAGUAGGUGCACUUGACAGUAUUGAGGUCAUUUGUUAUGGUGCUAUUUCAAGUCUAGGUUUAGGCCCUUGUACAUUUUGCCCAUAACUUUUUACAAAAUACUUCUUUUAUUGCACAUUCAGAGAAUUUUAUAUAUGUCUUGUGUGCGUGUCCUUAACUUCCAAUCUUAUUUUGUCUCUUGGAGAUUGAACGCAGCUUGUUUAAGGAGAAGGAAAUAGAUUCUAAAACUUAUUUGGGACCAUGGGAAUGAUAGCUGGGAAGAAAACUAUUUGCACACGACAGAUUUCUAGAUACUUUUUGCUGCUAGUUUUGUGUAAUAUUUAUUGAACAUUUUUGACAAAUAUUUAUUUUUGUAAGCCUAAAAGUGAUUCUUUGAAAGUUUAAAGAAACUUGACCAAAAGACAGUACAAAAACACUGGCACUUGAAUGUUGAAUGUCACCGUAUGCGUGAAAUUAUAUAUUUCGGGGUAGUGUGAGCUUUUAAUGUUUAAGUCAUAUUAAACUCUUAAGUCAAAUUAAGCAGACCCGGCAUUGGCAGUAUAGCCAUAACUUUCUGAUAGUAAAACAAAAAUUGGCAACUUAAAAUUAAACAUGCCAAGGUUUUGAUACACUUGUCUUAAGAUAUUUAUGAAACACUUCUAAACACUGAUGUGAAGUGUCCAGAUUCUCAGAUGUUUGUUGCGUGAGUUUUGUUUAGUUGUGUGUUUUUUUUUUUUUUCAGUGAAUGUCUGGCACAUUGCAAUCCUCAAACAUGUGGUUAUCUUUGUUGUAUUGGCAUAAUCAGUGACUUGUGCAUUUUAGCAAGUUUUAUCAGCCAGCAAUAUUUUCAGUUCAGAAUUGCUUAUUGUAUUAGUUUAGAUGCUAGCACUGCAUGUGCUGUGCAUAUUCUUGAUUUUAUUAAAAUAAAAAAGUUGAACUGCACAGUCUAUUCAUUUGUGAAGCGUCACUCCUGGUUUCUGAGCUCUGUAGCCCCAGCAGUCUCAUUCACGUGCAGCUCUGGAAGCAGGUGACUCUAGUGUGGCACAUGUCAGUGUGGUGGCAGAUGGCAGCCAGGCUCAGGGCUGUAGCUGGAAUAACCUAAAAUGGCCUGUGCCCCACAGUGCAGGGCUACUGUCGAGUGUCAGAGGUGGGACAGACAAAAACCACCUGCGUUUGUUCAUUAGGGGGACCAAGUCAGGCUGUAACAACCUCAUUAAACCUUGUGGAGUUGGGCCUGGUUCCUCAGCCCCUGACUGCUCAUCUCACAGUUGUCCCUCUGAGUUUCACAGGAGUGCCUUGUAGAGAGCCUUAAGUUUUGAGGUCAUGCUUGUUCAUUGUUCCUAGGUAUUGAAAAGCCAAAAUGAGGUGGAAUAUUGGAAUAUCCAGGGGAGUGGAGUGGAAGGAAUAGAUUCAGGUGUUUCCAGUUUCUUUGAAGUGAGAUAAAUUUACUCCAUUUGAGAGAAAGUGGUUUAGGAAUAGCCUGGGUUUUGAGUUUGGUGCUGAAAUGAGUGUAGAAACUUGAGGUUUUCUGGUGAGUAAGGAAGAGGGUGGGGGAGGGAAGAAAGUAAUGCCUGGGACCCCUGAUCCAUGGAAGUGUAAUGCAGGUGAAUGGCAUGGGGUAAGGACUGGUAAAAUGCGAUGUGCCCCUGCAGUCCUGGAUCCAUAUUGGAAAUAAAAACCACCCCACCAAUCCA
rnacentral:lncRNA from 1 species